rnacentral:ncRNA from 1 species
CGGGGACUCAACUGCCUCCCCGUCAGAUGUGACGCCGUCCAUCCAAGCGCUGA